rnacentral:rRNA from 1 species
AUUGAACGCUGGCGGCAGGCCUAACACAUGCAAGUCGAGCGGAUGAAGGGAGCUUGCUCCUGGAUUCAGCGGCGGACGGGUGAGUAAUGCCUAGGAAUCUGCCUGGUAGUGGGGGAUAACGUCCGGAAACGGGCGCUAAUACCGCAUACGUCCUGAGGGAGAAAGUGGGGGAUCUUCGGACCCCACGCUAUCAGAUGAGCCUAGGUCGGAUUAGCUAGUUGGUGGGGUAAAGGCCUACCAAGGCGACGAUCCGUAACUGGUCUGAGAGGAUGAUCAGUCACACUGGAACUGAGACACGGUCCAGACUCCUACGGGAGGCAGCAGUGGGGAAUAUUGGACAAUGGGCGAAAGCCUGAUCCAGCCAUGCCGCGUGUGUGAAGAAGGUCUUCGGAUUGUAAAGCACUGUAAGUUGGGAGGAAGGGCAGUAAGUUAAUACCUUGCUGUUUUGACGGUACCAACAGAAUAAGCACCGGCUAACUUCGUG